rnacentral:ncRNA from 2 species
UUCUUAUCAAGAGAGGUAGAGGGAAUGGCCCUGUGAAGCCUCAGCAACCAUCAAUGUUCUUCAUUGAAAAGGUGCUAAGUCCUGCAAAUCUUUGUGUUUGCGAGAUAAGAA